rfam:Ovis aries breed Texel chromosome 3, whole genome shotgun sequence.
UCCCUUGUAGCUCAGUUGGUAAAGAAUCUGCCUGCAAUGGAGGAGACCCAGGUUCAAUUCCUGGGUUGGGAA